UUUGUAGGACAAUUUGAUUUCCAAAAUGUUAUGCAUGCUACUUGCCUGUUCUUUAAUCCUGAUUUGGCUGAAGUAGUUGAUUUCAAAAACAGUAUGGUUGACCAAGGUAUCAAUGGAACACAACCAUUGUUUAUUGUUAAUGAGGGAAAGGGUGUUUUAUUGGAAGAUGAUUUUAUGCGGCUUACUAAGAGAUGCACUAUUGAGGAAUUCCAUGAUAACAAUGAGGAAGGGUCUUUUGUGAUUUUUGGUACUGUGAGAUCUAUUGUGGAUGAUGGACCUUAGUGGUAUUCAGCUUGUGUUUGUGGAAGUCAAUUCAGCCUCAAGGUGGUGCAUAUUAUUGUGAUUUUUGUCAGCACUAUGUUACCAAUGUGACUCUUAGAUAUAGGAUCAAAAUAACUGUUGCGGAUGAUAAUAGAUAUGGUGUAUUUGUCUUAUUCGAUCGUGAGGCUACUUACUUAUUGAAAAAAUCAUGUGUUGAUCUGUUUGGAGAUGUUCAAAAGGAUGCAAGUUGUUUGUGGAGAUAGUUAUCCUGUGAUGUUCCAGCAAUUGCUGGGAAAAAAUUGCUUCUUAAGAUAGAUACCAAGAUUGUUGGUGCAGACAAAUAUUUCAGAACUUUUCGUGUAAGAAGAGUUUGCGAUG